UACGUAGGGGGCAAGCGUUGUCCGGAUUUAUUGGGCGUAAAGAGCGUGUAGGCGGCUUUACAGGUCCGUUGUGAAAACUCGAGGCUCAACCUCGAGACGCCGGUGGAAACCGUAAAGCUAGAGUCCGGAAGAGGAGAGUGGAAUUCCUGGUGUAGCGGUGAAAUGCGCAGAUAUCAGGAGGAACACCCGUGGCGAAAGCGGCUCUCUGGGACGGUACUGACGCUGAGACACGAAAGCGUGGGGAGCAAACAGG
rnacentral:rRNA from 1 species